GAUGAACGCUGACAGAAUGCUUAACACAUGCAAGUCUACUUGAACUUCGGUUUGGGUGGCGGACGGGUGAGUAACGCGUAAAGAACUUGCCUCACAGUUAGGGACAACAUUUGGAAACGAAUGCUAAUACCUGAUAUUAUGAUUUUAGGGCAUCCUAAGAUUAUGAAAGCUAUAUGCGCUGUGAGAGAGCUUUGCGUCCCAUUAGCUAGUUGGAGAGGUAACGGCUCACCAAGGCGAUGAUGGGUAGCCGGCCUGAGAGGGUGAACGGCCACAAGGGGACUGAGACACGGCCCUUACUCCUACGGGAGGCAGCAGUGGGGAAUAUUGGACAAUGGACCAAAAGUCUGAUCCAGCAAUUCUGUGUGCACGAUGACGUUUUUCGGAAUGUAAAGUGCUUUCAGUUGGGAAGAAAAAAUGACGGUACCAACAGAAGAAGUGACGGCUAAAUACGUGCCAGCAGCCGCGGUAAUACGUAUGUCACAAGCGUUAUCCGGAUUUAUUGGGCGUAAAGCGCGUCUAGGUGGUUAUGUAAGUCUGAUGUGAAAAUGCAGGGCUCAACUCUGUAUUGCGUUGGAAACUGCAUGACUAGAGUACUGGAGAGGUAAGCGGAACUACAAGUGUAGAGGUGAAAUUCGUAGAUAUUUGUAGGAAUGCCGAUGGGGAAGCCAGCUUACUGGACAGAUACUGACGCUAAAGCGCGAAAGCGUGGGUAGCAAACAGG
rnacentral:rRNA from 1 species